UAGGGAAUCUUCGGCAAUGGACGGAAGUCUGACCGAGCAACGCCGCGUGAGUGAAGAAGGUUUUCGGAUCGUAAAGCUCUGUUGUUAGAGAAGAACGUUGGCAGGUGUGUAAAAUCUACCAAGUGACGGUAACUAACCAGAAAGGGACGGCUAACUACGUGCCAGCAGCCGCGGUAAUACGUAGGUCCCGAGCGUUGUCCGGAUUUAUUGGGCGUAAAGCGAGCGCAGGCGGUUCUUUAAGUCUGAAGUUAAAGGCAGUGGCUUAACCAUUGUACGCUUUGGAAACGGGAGGACUUGAGUGCAGAAGGGGAGAGUGGAAUUCCAUGUGUAGCGGUGAAAGGCAUAGAUAUAUGGAGGAACACCGGUGGCGAAAGCGGCUCUCUGGUCUGUAACUGACGCUGAGGCUCGAAAGCGUGGGGAGCAAACAGG
rnacentral:rRNA from 1 species